rnacentral:rRNA from 1 species
UUACACAAAUAUGAAGGCGGGCUGGAACCUCUCGGGGUUACAGCCUUGCUGAAUUAUUCACCCUUGUCUUUUGCGUACUUCUUGUUUCCUUGGUGGGUUCGCCCACCACUAGGACAAACAUAAACCUUUUGUAAUUGCAAUCAGCGUCAGUAACAAAUUAAUAAUUACAACUUUCAACAACGGAUCUCUUGGUUCUGGCAUCGAUGAAGAACGCAGCGAAAUGCGAUAAGUAGUGUGAAUUGCAGAAUUCAGUGAAUCAUCGAAUCUUUGAACGCACAUUGCGCCCUUUGGUAUUCCAAAGGGCAUGCCUGUUCGAGCGUCAUUUGUACCCUCAAGCUUUGCUUGGUGUUGGGCGUCUUGUCUCUAGCUUUGCUGGAGACUCGCCUUAAAGUAAUUGGCAGCCGGCCUACUGGUUUCGGAGCGCAGCACAAGUCGCACUCUCUAUCAGCAAAGGUCUAGCAUCCAUUAAGCCUUUUUUUCAACUUUUGACCUCGGAUCAGGUAGGGAUACCCGCUGAACUUAAGCAUAUCAAUAAGCGGAGGAAAAGAAACCAACAGGGAUUGCCCUAGUAACGGCGAGUGAAGCGGCAACAGCUCAAAUUUGAAAUCUGGCUCUUUUAGAGUCCGAGUUGUAAUUUGCAGAGGGCGCUUUGGCUUUGGCAGCGGUCCAAGUUCCUUGGAACAGGACGUCACAGAGGGUGAGAAUCCCGUACGUGGUCGCUGGCUAUUGCCGUGUAAAGCCCCUUCGAC